rnacentral:tRNA from 2 species
CCGCCCAUAGCUCAGUUGGUAGAGCAACGGACUUUUAAUCCGGCGGUCGCAGGUUCGAUCCCUGCUGGGCGGA